GACUCCGUGAAGCUGGAUUCGCUAGUAAUCGCGCAUCAGCCAUGGCGCGGUGAAUACGUUCCCGGGCCUUGUACACACCGCCCGUCAAGCCAUGGGAGCCGGGGGUGCUUGAAGUGCGUCGCCGCAAGGCGCGCCCUAGAGCAAAACCGGUGACUGGGGCUAAGUCGUAACAAGGUAUC
rnacentral:rRNA from 1 species